rnacentral:rRNA from 1 species
UUCCAGACUCCUACGGGAGGCAGCAGUGGGGGAUAUUGCACAAUGGGGGAAACCCUGAUGCAGCGACGCCGCGUGAGUGGAGAAGUACUUCGUUACGUAAAGCUCUAUCAGCAGGGAAGAAAAUGACGGUACCUGACUAAGAAGCCCCGGCUAACUACGUGCCAGCAGCCGCGGUAAUACGUAGGGGGCAAGCGUUAUCCGGAUUUACUGGGUGUAAAGGGAGCGUAGACGGCAUGGCAAGUCAGAUGUGAAAGCCCGGGGCUCAACCCCGGGACUGCAUUUGAAACUGUCAGGCUGGAGUGCAGGAGAGGUAAGUGGAAUUCCUAGUGUAGCGGUGAAAUGCGUAGAUAUUAGGAGGAACACCAGUGGCGAAGGCGGCUUACUGGACUGUAACUGACGUUGAGGCUCGAAAGCGUGGGGAGCAAACAGGUUUAGAUACCCGAGUA